ACAGUUUAACAUGAUGGACUUUAGGACAGGACUGCUGCUGUUAACUAUCUGCUGGGCAGGUGUUGAUGGUCAGACUCUGACAGAAUCUGAACCAGUGAGUAAAAGGCCUGGAGAAUCGCAUAAACUGACCUGUACAGCCUCUGGAAUAUCAUUCAGCAGCUACGAUAUGCACUGGGUCAGACAGGCUCCUGGAAAAGGACUGGAGUGGGUUGCCUGGAUUGAUGAUGGUAGUGGAAGCAGCAAAUCCUACUCCCAGUCAGUCCAAGGCCGGUUUACCAUCUCCAGAGACAACAGCAGACAGCAGCUGUAUCUGCAGAUGAACAGUCUGAAGACUGAAGAUUCUGCUGUUUAUUAUUGUGCUGCAGAAUCACAGUGACUGAAGUUGGUUGAGCAGCUGUACAAAAA